UCUUCUUUAAAAAAAAAACAAAAAAACAUGAUAAUAAAAAAUCUAAUUAGGAUUUUGGUUUAUUCCAUCAGAAAAUAUGAUUUUUUUUAAAAACAGAUAUAAAUUGCAUCAAUUUAUGGAUAAAGUAAAGAUUUUUUUGAUUUUUUUACUUUUAUAUAAUGCAAAAAUAAAACAAGUGCUUCCUUCAAGAAAAGGUCCCCGUUUGUAAAAAUGUCAAAGGAAGCACAAUCUUUGAAGUCCCUGUCCUGUGGAAAUUAGUCAUCUAAAUGUUGUGUCGACAGCCAUGCAAAAUUUAAGCAAAAAAAAAAUGGAUGCUCCUUCACGUUUUGAGCCCUGAAAAUAUGGAAAAUGGCCAGAAUACACUUCACCGGGCCGUCAUGAGGUGUUAAGGCCUCUGGUCACAGCACGGAGAGCACCGUGACGAGAGAUGCUAGCUCGUGAGCUAGCAGGCUUGGACUUAGCAAUAACCAAGUAACUCGCAAUUAAGCAGAAUAACCUCGGACGCUAAUGAAGACAGUCAGGUUUUGAUGUCGUGGGCGAGGAGGUUAGUAUAAUUAGCAGGUUAGCUUGCGCUAACGAUGUUCACCAUGUUGAAGACAGUCAGGUUUUGAUAUCGUGGGCGAGGAGGUUAGUAUAAUUAGGAAGUUAGCUUGCGCUAACAAUGUUCACCAUGUUGAAGACAGUCAGGUUUUGAUAUCGUGGGCGAGGAGGUUAGUAUAAUUAGGAAGUUAGCUUGCGCUAACAAUGUUCACCAUGUUGAAGACAGUCAGGUUUUGAUGUCGUGGGCGAGGAGGUUAGUAUAAUUAGGAAGUUAGCUUGCGCUAACAAUGUUCACCAUGUUGAAGACAGUCAGGUUUUGAUGUCGUGGGCGAGGAGGUUAGUAUAAUUAGGAGGUUAGCUUGCGCUAACAAUGUUCACCAUGUUGUUAGCGCAAGCAGUGGACGUC